rnacentral:rRNA from 1 species
GACGAACGCUGGCGGCGUGCUUAACACAUGCAAGUCGAACGGAAAGGCCUUUUCGGAGGUACUCGAGUGGCGAACGGGUGAGUAACACGUGGGUGAUCUGCCCUGCACUCUGGGAGAAGCCUGGGCAACUGGGUCUAAUACCGGAUAGGACCGCACUUUAGUGGGUGUGGUGGCAAGUUUUUUCGGUGUAGGAUGAGCCCGCGGCCUAUCAGCUUGUUGGUGGGGGAAUGGCCUACCAAGGCGGCGACGGGUAGCCGGACUGAGAGGUUGGUCGGCCACAUUGGGACUGAGAUACGGCCCAGACUCCUACGGGAGGCAGCAGUGGGGAAUAUUGCACAAUGGGCGCAAGCCUGAUGCAGCGACGCCGCGUGGGGGAUGACGGCCUUCGGGUUGUAAACUCCUUUCGCCAGGGACGAAGCGUUUUGUGACGGUACCUGGAGAAGAAGCACCGGCUAACUACGUG